GAGGAGCGUCAUUUAUUUUAUUGGGUAUGAGAUUGGGUAUGAGCGUCAUUUAUUCAUUUAU
rnacentral:tRNA from 1 species